rnacentral:tRNA from 1 species
GACUGGAUAGCCUAGUGAUAAAGGCAUCACAUUGACAUUGUGUCUUGGCUUACAUGCUGAGGUCCCAGGUUCAAAUCCUGGUCUAGUCA